GAUGAAGAACGCAGCGAAAUGCGAUAAGUAAUGUGAAUUGCAGAAUUCAGUGAAUCAUCGAAUCUUUGAACGCACAUUGCGCCCGCCAGUAUUCUGGCGGGCAUGCCUGUCUAAGCGUCAUUUCAACCCUCAUGCCCCUAGGGCGUGGUGUUGGGGAUCGGCCAAAGCCCGCGAGGGACGGCCGGCCCCUAAAUCUAGUGGCGGACCCGUCGUGGCCUCCUCUGCGAAGUAGUGAUAUUCCGCAUCGGAGAGCGAUGAGCCCCUGCCGUUAAACCCCCAACUUUCCAAGGUUGACCUCAGAUCAGGUAGGAAUACCCGCUGAACUUAAGCAUAUCAAUAAGCGGAGGA
rnacentral:misc_RNA from 1 species